rnacentral:misc_RNA from 1 species
GAUGAAGAACGUAGCGAAAUGCGAUAAGUAAUGUGAAUUGCAGAAUUCAGUGAAUCAUCGAAUCUUUGAACGCACCUUGCGCCCUUUGGCUAUUCCGAAGGGCAUGCCUGUUUGAGUAUCAUGAACACCUCAACUCUCAUGGUUCGCCAUGAUGAGCUUGGACUCUGGGGGUCUUGCUGGCCUAUGGUCAGCUCCUCUCAAAUAAAUCAGCUUGCCAGUGUUUGGUGGCAUCACAGGUGUGAUAACUAUCUACGCUUGUGGUUUUCCAUCAGGUAACCUUCAGUGAUGGAGGUUCGCUGGAGCUCAUAAAUGUCCCUCCUCAGCGAGGACAGCUUUUUGAACGUUUGAUCACAAAUCAGGUAGGACUACCCGCUGAACUUAAGCAUAUCAAUAAGCGGAGGA